AACGAACGCUGGCGGCGUGCUUAACACAUGCAAGUCGAACACGAAAGUUUUCUUCGGAAAGCGAGUAGAGUGGCGCACGGGUGAGUAACGCGUAAGUAAUCUACCCUGGCAUCUGGGAUAACAAUUCGAAAGGAUUGCUAAUACCGGAUACGUUGAUUUAUCAAGAAAGGUGGCCUCUUCAUGAAAGCUACUGUGCCGGGAGGAGCUUGCGUACCAUUAGCUAGUUGGUGGGGUAAUGGCCUACCAAGGCGACGAUGGUUAGCGGGUCUGAGAGGAUGAUCCGCCACACUGGAACUGGAACACGGACCAGACUCCUACGGGAGGCAGCAGUGAGGAAUAUUGCGCAAUGGGGGAAACCCUGACGCAGCGACGCCGCGUGGAUGAUGAAGGUUUUCGGAUCGUAAAAUCCUGUCAGAUGGGAAGAAAUGCUAUAGCUCUAAUACAGCUUUAGUUUGACAGUACCAUCAAAGGAAGCACCGGCUAACUCCGUG
rnacentral:rRNA from 1 species